GUCACGAGUAGUACGUUAGAAAGAGAUGGACAUAUGGUAGAAAAUGUCAAAAUCAUAUGUUUAUUGUUUACUGUUCAGCUACUGUGUUUUCAAUCGAUAUUUCAUUCUCGUCACAAACAAUUUAGCAGAAAUCUAGGUUUUUAGAAUCGACUGCUACAUGCUAAUAAAGCGAAAGUGAUUUAUUUUUGGAAAUAAUAGACCAAUGAAGGAGUUUCUUUGUUAUUUCAUGUAUGUACAUAUAGGACAUGAUUUACAAAGAUUUACAAGGAAUAUACCUAGUCUACUUUCUAUAUUUCAUAAGGCCACAGCAAGAAUUUGUAGAGGCAUGUCCGAAGAAAAUACUUAACUCUAAUCUGGAUUCAAUAUUAGGAAGAGAAAAGAUUGUCACAGAAAUCUAACACUGGAAAGCCACACGAUAAAGAAACAGGAGCAGUAAAAUAUUACUGCCAGGAGUGCCAGAGAAGAGCAACUAAACCACCUGAUGGAGAACCUAUCAAAAUAAUUGAAAAAAAA